CUGGUACGCUAUUUAAUAUGCGAAAAAUAUAUUUGUGACUUUGAAGAUUAAUAUAAUUUCAAAAUAUUACAGUAUGUGUUUAUGUGAUAUUGCACAGUGGCACAAUUUUGACUCAAUGGUUAACUGACUCAGUCACAAUCUGCCUAUAUAAUCCAACUAAAGUCGACCGCUUUUCUGCUCAAACGUAAGGCAGCUGUGUCUUUGUUGUUGGAAAUUAUUUUCUUCUGUUUUCCCAUCCAAGUAAAACUAUAGCCAUCAAUAGAACCACAGCCCGUAAUUGCCAAUUACACAUAUCACUAUCUAUUGAAAACAAAAUCAAAAUCAUUUUAAGUAUUG